UACGGGGGGGGCAAGCGUUGUUCGGAAUUACUGGGCGUAAAGGGUUCGUAGGUGGCUUGCUAAGUCAGACGUGAAAUCCCUCAGCUUAACUGGGGAACUGCGUCUGAUACUGGCGAGCUUGAGUGCAGGAGAGGAACGCGGAAUUCCAGGUGUAGCGGUGAAAUGCGUAGAGAUGUGGAGGAACACCAGUGGCGAAGGCGACUCUGUGGCCUGUAACUGACGCUGAGGCGCGAAAGCGUGGGGAGCAAACAGG
rnacentral:rRNA from 1 species